UGGGCUUCAGUGUCUCGUCUGUACCUCGAGUAGACUGAGGUCAUGGUCUCUGAUGCUCUGGUUCCUCCCCAGGUGAAGGCUUUCGUCACGCAGGACAUUCCAUUCUAGUAUCCUUCUGUUCUGGGGGAGGGGAAAUGGGAUGGGCACCUGGGAGAAUCUCCACGUAACUUCAGAAAGGGGUGGCAGAUGGUUUUCAACUGACAAGUUGAAUUGAUUGGUAGUGGCUCCCAGAGGAUUCUGAGGUGGUCUCCAUGUUGGGUGGGCAAGAGAGAUUGACUAGUGAUGACUGCCACAGAAUGGAGAGGAGGGCCCUUUACUUCUUUGAACCCUAAUUUUCUCACGUAUAAGCGGAGACCCUGGCCCCUCCCGGGCACAGAGUAAGCUCUGAGCAAAGGAGGCAAUGCUGUUCCCAUCAGUAAGGCUGCGGAAACCACCACCUCCCUCUGCCCACCACCCCGCUCCUUAACACCACCUCCAGUCACAACCUGGUGAUGAAACACCUCCCUGGGGCCGACCCUGAGCUCGUGCUGCUGGGCCGCCGCUACGAGGAACUAGAGCGCAUCCCACUCAGUGAAAUGACCCGCGAAGAGAUCAAUGCGCUAGUGCAGGAGCUCGGCUUCUACCGCAAGGCGGCGCCCGACGCGCAGGUGCCCCCCGAGUACGUGUGGGCGCC
rnacentral:lncRNA from 1 species